rnacentral:rRNA from 1 species
AGUGAACGCUGGCGGUAGGCCUAACACAUGCAAGUCGAACGGCAGCACAAUAAGAGCUUGCUCUUACGGGUGGCGAGUGGCGGACGGGUGAGGAAUACAUCGGAAUCUACUUUUUCGUGGGGGAUAACGUAGGGAAACUUACGCUAAUACCGCAUACGACCUACGGGUGAAAGCAGGGGAUCUUCGGACCUUGCGCGAUUGAAUGAGCCGAUGUCGGAUUAGCUAGUUGGCGGGGUAAAGGCCCACCAAGGCGACGAUCCGUAGCUGGUCUGAGAGGAUGAUCAGCCACACUGGAACUGCGACACGGUCAAGACUCCUACGGGAGGCAGCAGUGGGGAAUAUUGGACAAUGGGCGCAAGCCUGAUCCAGCCAUACCGCGUGGGUGAAGAAGGCCUUCGGGUUGUAAAGCCCUUUUGUUGGGAAAGAAAAGCAGCAGGUUAAUACCCCGCUGUUCUGACGGUACCCAAAGAAUAAGCACCGGCUAACUUCGUG